rnacentral:rRNA from 1 species
CAGCAGUGGGGAAUAUUGCACAAUGGGGGAAACCCUGAUGCAGCGACGCCGCGUGGAGGAAGAAGGUCUUCGGAUUGUAAACUCCUGUUGUUGAGGAAGAUAAUGACGGUACUCAACAAGGAAGUGACGGCUAACUACGUGCCAGCAGCCGCGGUAAAACGUAGGUCACAAGCGUUGUCCGGAAUUACUGGGUGUAAAGGGAGCGCAGGCGGGAAGACAAGUUGGAAGUGAAAUCUAUGGGCUCAACCCAUAAACUGCUUUCAAAACUGUUUUUCUUGAGUAGUGCAGAGGUAGGCGGAAUUCCCGGUGUAGCGGUGGAAUGCGUAGAUAUCGGGAGGAACACCAGUGGCGAAGGCGGCCUACUGGGCACCAACUGACGCUGAGGCUCGAAAGUGUGGGUAGCAAACAGGAUUAGAUACCCUGGUAGUCCACACCGUAAACGAUGAUUACUAGGUGUUGGAGGAUUGACCCCUUCAGUGCCGCAGUUAACACAAUAAGUAAUCCACCUGGGGAGUACGACCGCAAGGUUGAAACUCAAAGGAAUUGACGGGGGCCCGCACAAGCAGUGGAGUAUGUGGUUUAAUUCGACGCAACGCGAAGAACCUUACCAAGUCUUGACAUCCUGCGACGAUGCUGGAAACAGUAUUUUCCUUCGGGACGCAGAGACAGGUGGUGCAUGGUUGUCGUCAGCUCGUGUCGUGAGAUGUUGGGUUAAGUCCCGCAACGAGCGCAACCCUUAUGGUCAGUUACUACGCAAGAGGACUCUGGCCAGACUGCCGUUGACAAAACGGAGGAAGGUGGGGAUGACGUCAAAUCAUCAUGCCCUUUAUGACUUGGGCUACACACGUACUACAAUGGCGUUAAACAAAGAGAAGCAAGACCGCGAGGUGGAGCAAAACUCAAAAACAACGUCUCAGUUCAGAUUGCAGGCUGCAACUCGCCUGCAUGAAGUCGGAAUUGCUAGUAAUCGCGGAUCAGCAUGCCGCGGUGAAUACGUUCCCGGGCCUUGUACACACCGCCCGUCACACCAUGAGAGUCGGGAACACCCGAAGUCCGUAGCCUAACCUUUUAGGAGGGCGCGGCCGAAGGUGGGUUCGAUAAUUGGGGUGAAGUCGUAACAAGGUAGCCGUUCGAGAACGAGCGGCUG